rnacentral:rRNA from 1 species
UACGGGGGGGGCAAGCGUUUGUUCGGAAUUACUGGGCGUAAAGAGCGUGUAGGCGGCCAGGUAGGUCGGUUGUGAAAACUGGAGGCUCAACCUUCAGAGGUCGACCGAAACCAUCUGGCUAGAGUCCGGGAGAGGAGAGUGGAAUUCCUGGUGUAGCGGUGAAAUGCGCAGAUAUCAGGAAGAACACCCGUGGCGAAAGCGGCUCUCUGGAACGGUACUGACGCUGAGACGCGAAAGCGUGGGGAGCGAACAGG